rnacentral:tRNA from 1 species
GCGGGUAUAGUAUAGUGGCUAUUACGCUGCCUUGCCAAGGCGGAGGCACGGGUUCAAUUCCCGUUACUCGCUCCA